rnacentral:rRNA from 1 species
AGGGUUUGAUUCUGGCUCAGGACGAACGCUGGCGGCGUGCUUAACACAUGCAAGUCGAACGGGAUCCUUUCUAGCUUGCUAGGGGGGUGAGAGUGGCGAACGGGUGAGUAACGCGUGAUUAACCUGCCGUGUAGUUUGGAAUAGCUCCUGGAAACGGGUGGUAAUGCCGAAUGUUCCACAUGCUCGCAUGGGUGUGUGGGAAAACGUUUUAGUGCUAUGCGAUGGGAUCGCGUCCUAUCAGCUUGUUGGUGGGGUAGUGGCCUACCAAGGCUUCGACGGGUAGCCGGCCUGAGAGGGCGACCGGCCACAUUGGGACUGAGAUACGGCCCAGACUCCUACGGGAGGCAGCAGUGGGGAAUAUUGCACAAUGGGGGGAACCCUGAUGCAGCGACGCCGCGUGCGGGAUGACGGCCUUCGGGUUGUAAACCGCUUUUAUUGGGGAGCAAGCGUGAGUGAGUGUACCUUUUGAAUAAGCACCGGCUAACUACGUGCCAGCAGCCGCGGUAAUACGUAGGGUGCAAGCGUUGUCCGGAAUUAUUGGGCGUAAAGAGCUCGUAGGCGGUUUGUCGCGUCUGGUGUGAAAGUCCAUCGCUUAACGGUGGAUUGGCGCUGGGUACGGGCAGGCUAGAGUGUAGUAGGGGAGACUGGAAUUCUCGGUGUAACGGUGGAAUGUGUAGAUAUCGGGAAGAACACCAAUGGCGAAGGCAGGUCUCUGGGCUAUUACUGACGCUGAGGAGCGAAAGCGUGGGGAGCGAACAGGAUUAGAUACCCUGGUAGUCCACGCCGUAAACGGUGGAUGCUGGAUGUGGGGCCCUUUCCACGGGUUCUGUGUCGGAGCUAACGCGUUAAGCAUCCCGCCUGGGGAGUACGGCCGCAAGGCUAAAACUCAAAGAAAUUGACGGGG